rnacentral:rRNA from 1 species
AUUGAACGCUGGCGGCAGGCCUAACACAUGCAAGUCGAACGAGUGGCGGACGGGUGAGUAAUGUCUGGGAAACUGACCGAUGGAGGGGGAUAACUACUGGAAACGGUAGCUAAUACCGCAUACCAUCGGAUGUGCCCAGAUGGGAUUAGCUAGUAGGUGGGUGAACGGUUCCCCUAGGCGACGAUCCCUAGCUGGGCUGAGAGGAUGACCAGCAACACUUGAACUGAGACACGGUCCAGACUCCUACGGGAGGCAUCAGUGGGGAAUAUUGCACAAUGGGCGCAAGCCUGAUGCAGCCAUGCCGAGUGUAUGAAGAAGGCCUUCGGGUUGUAAAGUACUUUCAGCGAGGAGGCGUUACUCGCAGAAGAAGCACCGGCUAACUCCGUGCCAGCAGCCGCGGUAAUUC